CCUACGGGUGCAGCAGUGGGGGAUAUUGCACAAUGGGGGAAACCCUGAUGCAGCGACGCCGCGUGGGCGAAGAAGUAUUUCGGUAUGUAAAGCCCUAUCAGCAGGGAAGAAGAAAUGACGGUACCUGAGUAAGAAGCACCGGCUAAAUACGUGCCAGCAGCCGCGGUAAUACGUAUGGUGCAAGCGUUAUCCGGAUUUACUGGGUGUAAAGGGAGCGUAGACGGCCAGACAAGUCAGAAGUGAAAGCCCAGGGCUCAACCCUGGGACUGCUUUUGAAACUGCCGGGCUGGAGUGCAGGAGAGGUAAGCGGAAUUCCUAGUGUAGCGGUGAAAUGCGUAGAUAUUUGGAGGAACACCAGUGGCGAAGGCGGCUUACUGGACUGUAACUGACGUUGAGGCUCGAAAGCGUGGGGAGCAAACAGGAUUAGAUACCCGUGUAGUC
rnacentral:rRNA from 1 species